GUUAUGAGUCAAAUUACACAGCGUGGGAAAAUUCCAAAGAACUUAGAGACUUACCUGUCAGUCUCUUCAUUUACCUGUCAGAGCACUCUGAUUGGAUGGCUUAAACCCACCAAUCAGAGUGCUCUGAGCCUAAUUGUAGUGCUCAGUCUGCGAAAAGCCCUCGCCGGGUGAAGAAGGAUUAUUUUUUUUUGCACUCGUUUUUUUUUUUUUUAAUUGCAUCGGUUAUUAUGGAUUUUUAUUUGGCCUUUUUUGGGGCUGAAAAAAGAAGAUUUUAG